UCGCGAUAUUCCAGGUACGGGGAGGCGGGAGACGGGGCGAAAGCGAGGGGAGUUGGAGUAAUGUUGGCGGCUUCGCUUCCGGGACCGACGCAAACACAUAAACGCCUGCGCGAGUAUAUAUAUGUACUGGCAUGGAAUGCUUGCCGUAUAUAUGUUGUGCUCCGUCCUGAGUCCCCUUCAUGACAUGUGGCUUCAUAAAAUAGUGAAGGAGAAAUCACUGUUCAAGUGCUGGCUUGUGCUUUAUUGUCUGCGUGUGUUUACCAACAUAUACAGAAAACUGCAAUUUGUUAACCUGGAAAACCAUAAAAUAAUGGGCUCUGCUCCGUGUUCUAUAAUCCAUAUAGUAUCUCUUGUCCUGGAUAAAUUUGUACCAUCAGCUAUAUUUGUGCCAUGAUAUGGCCUCACUGGUUUUCAUGUUAUUGGUUAUAACUUGUUCUCCUUCAUAGCAUAUCUUAUAGCCUCAUCCUAUGCAUAUUUACUUAGAAGGAAGUCCCCAUCAUUUCAAUUAACCUGGUUGUUAAGUACAUAUGCAUAAAAUUACAACAGCAAAUGUAAACAGAUUUAUGAAGAUAUGCUUUUGUUGACAUGAACACAUUGACAAAGGAUUGAUGGGCAUUUUGGGACUAAGCCCAGCAUGGGCUUUUUCUAGAAGUCAGUGUACAUAGUAAGAUCACUGUCAGAAAACAAGUAUAGACACCUCUCUAUUGAUGUAGUGAGUGAGUUAUUCAUGAACCAACAGCAACUGUGCAUGCUUAUGUACCAGGUUCAGUAGCAUGAUACCUGGAAGAAGUUAUAAGGAAAAAAACAUCCUAGAAAAAUCAAGAGGUUUUCUCAUCCACUGCCCAGUUAACCCCAAAGCAGAAGCUCACAAAGUAGAUGAGCCAGACAAGCUUCAUACCCUCCAAGUAUCUCAGUUGACAGGGAUAAGACCAAUGAACUCUCUGUGGCCCCACCUUUUCAGCUACUUCUUAAAUGCUCCAGUUUCUUUCUCCUCCUACCUCAUUCUCCCUCUGUCCUUGGCCUAAUUCCAUUGCUGCAGAUUGAGCUAAAAGUGAAAAAUAUUUUUAUUCAGUUAACUCAUUGCAGGGAGAAAGUGGAAUCUUGCCCUCCCCAAUAGGUUCAGGCCAAAAAAAAAAAAAACCUGCUGCAGCCUCUCCUAAAAAGCAUGUUCCUCCUCAUUUAUAUUUUCCCAUUUCAACUGCACUCCAAUGUUGUUUGGCCACCCAUGCCCCAUUUUUCAUCUCUGAGAUAGUGGGUAUAGAUUUGUCCUUACAAGUUACUCUGUAAGCUGUAUGGAAAACUGAGGCCCCAUCUAUAAUGUCAUAUAAUGCAGUUUAACUUAUAUGGUUGUGUAAACCUGUAUAAUGCAGUUAAACUACAUUAUAUAACUGCAUUAUAUGGCAGUGUAGAUGAGGCCUGAGGAGCUCUGACAGCCAGAACCUCCUCUAUACAUAGACCAAGUGUAGGAAUCGCAUAGUCUUCCAGAUGUACCCUGCAGUUGAACAACAGCUGGAGGACUGCACGGUUGCUACCCACCAAUGAAGUCUAUGGGAGUAAAAUGCUCAGAAUGAGCACCCAUAUUUCCCAAAUAGAAGUAUUAUGCAGACGUGCCUUUAGAUGUCAUUGUCUUAUAAAUAAUAAAUAAUAAAAUGCCCUGAUUGCUCACUACUCUAUGCAGUUAACUGGAAAGCUGACUUUAUGUUAUUUCACUGUGGUUUUGUUUUGAACAUGCUGUCCCGAUAACCUUUAUUCCAAUCCUUUGGUUUCCUCUGUAUCUUUGCCUGGAAGUGCUCAGGAUGCAAUCUCCAGCUUCUGGCCUCACGGGGCUUAGCAUCUACAACGGUUUCUUCAGCGACCAGGGGAGCAUGGUGCACAGUUUGCAAUCUCUCAAGGAGCCAGUUUUGCCUGUCUGCAGAAUGUAGGUGCUCUCCCAAAUUGUGCAUAAUCUGCAUUUCACUUACAGAUCUCUUCCUGUAAUGAAAACAGAUUGGGAAGGAUUAAAAACAACCUCACAGCAGUAACAAUCUAAAUUUUACUUAUAUAUCUUUGGGCGAAGCUACAUGUCACCCCAUUCACGGCCUUGUCAAUGGCCUGGAUUGUUUUCAAGGGUCUUGAGUAGACAUGUGGAGCGUGGAGUGAUCCAGAAUAAAACACUGUUAGUGAUGGAGCUUUAACCCUUUGCUUUCAGCAGCAGUUCGAAUUUUAAUGGAUCCUGCUAAGUAAAGGUAAAGGUUUUCCUCUGACAUUAAGUCUAGUCAUGUCCAACUCUGGGGGUUGGUGCUCAUCUCUAUUUCUAAGCCAAAGAGCCAGAGUUGUCUGUAGAUGCCUCCAAGGUCAUGUGACUGGAAUGACUGCAUAUCUGUUGAUCUACUCACAUUUGCAUGUUUUUGAACUGCUAGGUUGGCAGAAGCUGGGGCUAACAGCGAGCACUCACCUCACUCCCCGGAUUUGAACUGGUCAGCAAGUUCAGCAGCCCAGAGGUUUAACCUGCUGUGCCAUCUGAGACUGCAAACUGGAUAAAUCCUAUCAUAUCUACUUUGGGCAUACAGGCAACUUGCCUUCAGAAAAGUAUACACUAAAAAUUCAGUAACAACCUGUCUCUGUCUAUUGCGGUUUAAGAGACCAAGGAUUCCCUCCCAAUGAUGAGAAAUGGUUAACAACAUUUUCCUAAGUGGUUAUUUAACAAGAAAGAUAGUUUACCUUUUACAGAAUAAAAGUAAUGAGAGUCACCAUAAGCAAUAGAGAGCAGGUCUUCUGUGCCUUUUAUAUUUGUGUAGAAAUGCAAUUUUCUUUUCUUUUUUUUAAACUGCAUUUGCUGAAGUUCCCUACCCUAUAUGGUACUCUGCUUUCCAUUACAUAUCAUUCCCCAUCUCUGUGCUACUCCAAGAAAUGGUAUAAAGAAUAUGCCAGGCCUAUCCUAGAGCCAUUUGGUCCACAGCAAGUUUUCAUGAAAGCAAUAAAUAGUUUUAACUAAUGCAUACAUAUAUGGCACUAGGAAUAACAAAACAACCUACAUCACAUGUUUAAGAAACACUGAACAAGCUCACACCUUGGUUUAUCAUUCAGAUGUAGAUAUGAUUUGUUUUGUGCACAUAUGGGUGGGGGGGGGGGGAGGAAAUAAUUAGACAAAGCCCUGGCUACAGCAGUUUCAUCAUUCAAGAAGUGCCUUUGACCUUGAGAACUAAACUGACCCAUUUUAUCGAGUUUGCAUCAUUUGAACAAAAGAAGGGGAAGCUUAUUUUCUAUAUAAAAGUCACAGUAUGUUUGUUUGGUCCGAAUCCAUCAAACUCCUAUUUGGCUUGAUGGACCUGGACCAAACUUGUCACACACACACUUCAUUACCCAACUUAAAAUAAUUGAAGGGUUUGGCAAAGGGGGCUGAUAGAAGUUUAUGCGAGUUUUAGUCCUGGAUAGCCAUAUGAAUCCCACCAACCAUCGAUCUUGACCAAACUUGGUACAUAAGGUACCUCAUGGUCUAACUUAGUGGGGUUUAGUUGGAGCCUCAUAGAGGAUUAGUUGGAAUCCAGCCAUAUCCAGAGACCUGCAUCAUUGCCAGUUCCAACUCGGCUAGAUCCGGAGUUGAUUACAUUUCCAGAUGGCCCGAUCUGGGUCUGAUGAGAGUUGGACCUGCCCACAUUUGGGAAUGAUGAGAGUUCCAGCCAGCUAGAUCUGGGCCUGAUGGGAUUUGCAGAUGGGCCGAUCUAGGGCUUAUAUUCAAGCUAAUAACUGUUUAAUUUCAUAAAAUGUAUAUCAAUAUACUCUACUUACAUUGCAGCUUUUCCAUCAGCGUUUGUGAAGAAACAGAUUGCAUAUAAAAUGAUUGUAGUUUUAGCCAAGACUCUGGUUGAAGUCAUAUUAGCUAUGGGGGAUGAAGUUGACAGUUGUUAGUCUGUAUUUUAUUACUGUACUUUAACUACUUGUUAAAUUUGAAUAAUAUAAGUAGCAAAAAAGGGUUUGUCACAGGUAGCAAUGCUGGCUAUUGCAACUGUUAUUAUAUUACUCCAGUGUAAAAAUAUCAUAUUCAUAUUCCAGAUAAAGAAGGGAUGAUGUGCUUCGUAAAACUCCAGAAGAAGAAUGUGAAACUAGUAUCACAUGUGAUGCUACUGUACCAGAUCUCCCACUGUAUUUAAUGUUAAAAUGUUUGUAAUCACAAUUUUUUUUACACUUAAACAUGCAUUCAGGCAAUGCCCCCAUUAAUCCUGAAGUACAGCAAGCAUCACACAUGAUAAGAGAAGGAAUCUAUGUUUGGAUGGUGUCUGGACACAUAUAGAACAAGCCAUUCAUUUUAAUGAAUCCAUUCCUAAGGUCAGAGUCACACAUAGUAGAAUGAUUGAAAUAAUCAUGUUAAAUCAUAUAAGAAAUGUUUCUUUAGCCCACUAGCCCACUAUUUCCAUUUUUAUUUGGAGUCCCUUCAGAAACACAUGGGAAGAUGCUACACUUUUUCAUGGCUUGCCCAACAAAGCUGUAUUCCAACAUAAUAUGCCUCUGAAUAUGGAUGUCCCAUUUGUUUGUCAUCAUUAAUAGCUAUAGAUCAGAGCUUGAAAGAGUUUUUGAACUCUGACUCCCAAAAUUCCCAAGAUGGCAUGGCCAUGGAUCAAGGAUUCCGGGACUUCCAGUCAAAAACCUUUUCCAACUUUGCUAUGAGUUAGCCUAUUCCUGACAGAACUGAUCCUUUUCCUAAGCUAAUCAUUUACAUGUAGUGAAAAUAUAACUACAGUAGCAUCUCACUUAUCCAACAUUCACUUAUCCAACGUUCUGGAUUAUCCAACACAUUUUUGUAGUCAAUGUUUUCAAUACAUCAUGAUAUUUUGGUGCUACAUUCAUAUAUACAGUAAUUACUACUUAGCAUUACUGCAUAUUGAACUACUUUUUCUGUCAAAUUUGUUGUAUAACACGAUGUUUUGAGGCUUAAUUUGUAAAAUCAUAACCUAAUUUGAUGUUUAAUAGGUUUUUCCUUAAUCCCUCCUUAUUAUCCAACAUAUUUGCUUAUCUAAUGUUCUGCUGGCCCGUUUAUGUUGGAUAAGUGAGACUCUACUGUAUUCAUUUUGUUAGUUGUGAAUUUACAGCCAAUAUAUUUUUCUAGAUUUUUCUGGAUAUGGCUAAAAUAAAUAUAAAUAAUAGAUGUCUUGAUAGUAUAGACUGAAUGAGUGUAUCCAAAACUGAAUAGGUGGUAUCCAGCAUAUUGCUAGCUUACAAACCAGGUUAUGUUUAGACAAAACUUUUAAACAACUUUUGGCAUGUGUUUGUGUGGUUGAUUACAAAGAAAUGCCUCAGGGACACUCCAAAACAGCCACGGAUUGGGUGGGGAGGCAGGAUGCAAAACAGGAGUCAUAAGUCAAAAACUAAUAUUUUAAAGAAAUAUUUUUAGUUUGUUUUAAAGGUUUCAUCUAGGUAUUGAAGUAUUAAAUAUUUCUGUCUGUAAUACAUCACCUCAUAAAUAAAUGAAUAGCUUAAUUUUAAGUAUAAUUUUGUCUUCCACUUUGCAUUAAUUGAGAACAUAGGUGUAUUCUGUUCCUUAAUGAAAUAUUUUGAUAAACUGUGCAGCAGUUUUGAAAUAAAAUGCUGAAAUCCUUUAUUUCAAAACCAGCCAAAUCUGUGGAUCAACCAUUUAGUCCCAUUGUAGCCAGCAUAGUGUAGGGCACCAUGGUUUGAAUUCCUGUUCAAAUCAUAAACAACAUUUCGUGACUUUGGGCAGGACUCUGGGGAAGGCAAUGGCAAACUGCUCUGAAUAAAUCUUGCCAUGAAAAUCCUAGUAUAGGGACACUAUAAGACAGCAUACACUUGAAGACAUAACCACAACAGUUCAAUUAUUUGGGUAUGAGUGAUGUGCAUAACGCUGUCUCCAAAAUACUGAGUUGUCAAAGUACUAAAUGCAAGUUAAUGCCCUUGUCUUUCAACAUCACAGACAAACCAAAGGCUUGUCCAAUCUCCUGUUUCCUUACGUCCUAAAUGUCACUCAGAUUUUCAUUCAUAAGUGAAAUUUCAACAAAUCUUUUGUUUUACCUCUAUACCUAUGUAUGAGUGUCAUUGUCAGAUAAGAAAUUACCUUUUCUUGCUGCUUUUAUCAUUAAAGAUGAUAGGCUGAAAAAUUCGGUCAUUAGAAAACUGAUGUCAAUACAAUUGCACUGCAAUCAAUGGAGGUUUCACAGUUUGGAAUUGUAUUAUAGGCUUAGUGUAGACUCAUAUCACACAGUUCAAUUCAGUGAAACCGUAUUGUAUGAGUCUAUACUGAUCAUAUAAUGCAAAUCCAAAAUGCAUUAUAUAGCAGUGUAAGUGGGACUUGAGAUCACAGUUUGAGCAAUAUUACUUCCUUUGAUGCAAGAAUAAGAAAGAAAUAACAAGUGCAAUUCUACAGCAAUGUUUGAAUUUUUAAAGAAUUGUGAUACUGAUUAAAUAAAUCACUGGUUAAAUACUUAUUGAGUCCACAUUUUGAGAUGAAUAGACUGUAAAUAUUAUAAAUAUACUAAAGUAUUUUAAUAAGUCUGUUGUGUAUUAUUUUUGUUUUUCCAACAUAAGAAUGCCUGCAGUUUCAAUCUUUGACCUAGUGUGAAAUAUAAAUGGUUAUGUGUUCCAAUUUAUUUAUUUAUUUUUAAAACCCUAUUCAAUAUGUUUCCUCCCUCAUAAAAUGUUUAAUUUUCCAAAUGGAUGUUUUCAGAAAUGUUGUUUAAAUUAAAAACUAAAUGACACAUUUCUAUUACCAUCUGUUAAUUACAAAGUUAAUUACAAUGAAUAAAGCAAGCAAUGUUAUAAUAAUCAAUUCCAGAGUAAAAUAAAAUGUUCUUACCAAGUUGCUCCUUCAGCUGGUUCGUCGUUUAGGUAUGCCAGCAACUUUCAGAAGUUGGUCUAAAGUCUGCUUAAUUGCUCUAGAGAACUCCUUAAAUGUAACUUUAAAAUAGACCCUCUAAGUAACUAAGCAGCCCUUUUAUUGUCUCAGUUGAGGUCACUUUCCCAAACACACCCCCUGACCCUGAUACCACCCGUCAUGUUUCUUAAUGGGCCAUUGAGUGUAAAAGUCAAUAACCUGGGCAACACCAAAAGCAUUUGACUUUUAGAGAAUUUGAGCUGAAGGUUGGAAAAAUGCAUAUAAAGAAAUUAUGUCAUUGGGUUAAUUAAUUAAUGAUCGGUUUUAAAUGUUAAUGGGUCCAUAGAUGACUAAAAACAGUAACAUUUGUGGAAGGAUUCCAAAACCUACUAAAAUAAAUGGCAGACUAUAGCAUCCUAACAUGCCUGACACCAUUAAGGAAAAAGAAGCAUUCUACCAUUGUCCUGUUGAUCAUUUUGACCCAAAACAUUAAUCUUACACGUCACAAUACAUAGACCAACCUUGGAGCCUGACCUACGAUGCAAUGUGACAUCAAGAAUGAAUCAUGUUGAGAUUUGGGAAUUUUUUUUUUCUGGGUUGCUGUAUAGCCAUGUUCCAGAAGCAUUCUCUCCUGAUGUUUCACUGACGUCUAUGGCAGGCAUCCUAAGAGGUCAUGAGAUUUUUUCCCCUGUUUUUCCUGUACUAUAUUGAAAACAAUACAAUUACCUUCUUUCAGAAAAGAUAUAAGCCAAGUGGAACUGCUAUUAGUCUAGGUUUUGCAUUCUAACAUGAUAGUGCCAUGUAAGUGACAGUUGGAUUUCAAGGAAGUGAUGUUCAGUGUUCUGAUGCCACUGGAACAAAUUAGUUAUAAUUGAAGCAAAUACUACAUAUCUAUCCUCUUGGUUUUGUCCUAAAUAGAAAAGGGACAUUUGUUCUCUUUGGGAUUAGCCAUUAAGGAAUGUUUGCUUCUGGGGAAAUAUUUUGUUUCCUUGUUUUUUUUCAUGCAAAAGGAUUGAUUGACUCGCUAAUUUGAGUUACAGGUUGGGUAUCUCUUACCUAAAAUGCUUGGGAACAGAAGUGUUUUGUAUUUUUUCAUACCUAUUUGCAUAUACAUGCAUAAGGAGAUGGGAUUCAAGUCUAAACACAAAAUUCACAUACGUAUCACAUAUACUUUGUACACAUACCCCAAAAGUAAUUUUAUACACAAUAUUUUAAAUAAUUUUGUGCCUGAAACAAAGCUUGUAUACAUUGAACCAUCUGAAAGCACUAUCUCAGCCAUGUUUUGAAGUAUUUCAGUAUUUCAGAUAAGGAAUACUCAACCGGUAUCUGUAGCUCUUGAUUCUGCAUGGAAAUUGUUCAGUUCACCUAGUCUCUGUUUCUGGCAGAUGCCUGACAUAUUUAGAUUAGCCAUAUGGAUCUAGAUGAAUUAACUUGUUCUUUGAGAGAGAACAGAUUUUUGGAGCCAUUCAUUGAUAUAGUUCAGUAGUGUAUGACAACAGAUCAAUAAUAUGUGCAAAAAAGAGUUCUUAGCAUCACUUAUGAUAUUUGUCUUGCCACCCACAAACCUCUGUGUGUAAAUGUGUAUAAGGACCCCAUCAGAUGCAUUCUUCUGUGUGUCUUCUCUCCGUUUUUAGGCGCUGGCAAAACGAAGUCCCAUGGAGACCAUCUCAUGACGCAGGGCUACUUCCGGUGGCUGCCUGUGGGAAUCGGUAUUGCCAGUGCCUGAAAACGGAGAGAAGACUCCAUUUUCAGCAUAAAAUGGAGAGGAAGUGGGGAAAGCACGACAAAUGAUGGGAAAUUACACAGGAUGGCUGGCUAUCCCAGAAGACAGGGAAAGACAGUAGGAAACAAAGGAGGAUGGUUCCCUCAGCUUUCUCCCGCUUUCCUCCUGCCCACCUGAUGAGGUCCAAUGUCAACCUCAUGUAUUAAUUGAGGUGAUGUGACCCACAGAUAAAUAAAGGUCACUGUGGAGACAGGAGAUGGGACCGGUCCCACCUCAGGAGGCCAGUUGCUCCUGGCUCUUGCCAUCGUCAUUUUUUGACACAAAAUUCUAGAUGUAUACAUAUGUAUUUCUUCAAUUGUAAGAUUCCAUCAAUUGAAAGAUGUACCCUAAUUUCAGUACCACCACUACCACCAAUAAAACACAUAAGAUACAUCUGCAGUUCUAAGACGCACUGCAUUUUUAGAGGUGUUUAUAUAGGGAAAAUAGUGUGUCUUAGAAUCGAAGAAAUGUAGAAUAUCAGUAAAUGAAAUAGAAAUGGGCUUUAAAUAGGGAAUAGAGUACCUAACUAUAUAUAUUAAUGAACUCUGGAAAUAACUUAGUUCCUUACAGAACGUAAAAGAAAACAUUUAUUCAUUAUAUAUUUACUUGUUUCUGUCUUGCCUUGUAGGCUCCUAUCAUAAGCCUACCCGAUCCCUUCGUUCAUCAGGGGAAGCUUUCCUGUCCCCACUCCCAAUAUCCCAGACCCGCCUUUUCUGCUGUGGCCCCUCGAUUGUGGAAUUCUCUGCCCGCUGAGAUUAGGCAAGCCCCCACACUAGCAGCCUUCAAGAAAGACUUGAAAACAUGGCUCUUUCACUGUGCUUUUGGAGAGUAACCAUUUUAUAUUUCUUUUCCGUUGCUCCCUCUAAUAUCUAUCCUCCAGAAUACCCCACUCCCUUAUGAUCCUGUUCGCUGUGGUUUUUAUUUUUAUGUCUUUCUCACCCAGAGUUUUAACUUAAUGUUCAUGUGGUCUGCCCUUGUUUUCAUUGUCUCCUUGUUUUACUUUGUAAUUGAUAUUAUUAUUUAUUGUAUUGCUUAUUGUAUUGUGAUGUGCUGUUCUUUUAUAUGUUGUUUACAUUGUAAUGUUUUGGGCAUGGCCCCAUGUAAGCCGCCCCGAGUCCCCGUUGGGGAGAUGGUGGCGGGGUAUAAAUAAAGUUUUAUUAUUAUUAUUAUUGCUUUCUCACAACAAUUAAGACUUGCAGCUGCACAUAUGAUUAAAAACAGAGAAAGAAAGAAAUUUCAAUUGUCAAUGUUUGUUUUUACUUUUGUUUACAUUUUGUUACUUUCUUUAUGGUGUGCAUCAUAUACAUAUUCAACAAUUCAAGACAAUACACCAUGCUAUCUACAUUUUGAAAGUUUUCUUGUGUACAGUUAUAUGCCCAAAGACAUCUAGGCAAUCUGGAUCCCUGUGUGAAAGUUGAAAUGAAAACCUAGUUUUUGUAUAUGUAAUACAUAUGAAGAAUUGCUUCACUAUGGAAGUUCAUAUUAAUCUCAGAGAUGUUAGGGUGCAACAUACACUGUGGCACACAAUGGUGUCAACCUAUUUCAGCUGCUUUUAAAAUAUCCCAGUUUUUCUCCCCUAAUCUCCUAUCUUGACCACAUUCUUGAUGUUUUUUGGACACAGGUGACCUGACUUUCAUUUGUGAGAUGUGGAAGAAUAUAUUUUAUGUUGUUUCAUCGUGACAGUGUUGUUCCUAAAUAGAGCUGUUUUGCAGGGAGAAAUAGGAUUUUUUGCUAAAUAAGAAUGCUAAUAACUAGAAAGUGUUAGGAAAGAUAAAAAGGCAAAAUGACUAAGACAAACAGACUUAUGUGUGAGUAGAAAAUAUUCAGGUGUCAUCACCUCUUGCUCUGAUUUCUAAUUCGAGGAAAGAGCUUUGACGUAAAUACUUAUCCCACAUCACUGCAUCCCCUGUCCUUAAAACCAUUAUUAAUCUACAAAAUCUAUAAAUAUAAGUGGAAAUGAACAACAAUUUGAUAAAAUGACGUUAACUAGGAUAUCAUAUUUAAUAGUUGAGGUCAGUAGGCGUUUCUGAAGGACAGGGCAUGCAGCGUAGAGAUGCUGGUGUCACAUUAUAGCUGAGCACAUCUUUUUCUCAGAAAAGCUGAAUAUCCUUCACUGACCUUCACAAAAGUAGCAGAGCAGAACAUGAAAAAUUGUUGCUGCCAUGGUUCUUUUAAGAAUGACACAUUGACACACAAUUGUACAAUACCAGGUUCGAUGCAAGAAGGCAAAUCACAUUGAUUUAGAUUUUCCCCAUUAUACUAAAUCUGCAUAUUUUAACAUCAAUUGGAAGAGGUGGAUAUUUAAUAUUUUCAGUAUUUUUACUUUCCAUUUUCUUCACGUGGAAAGUGAAAAGGUCAACGUAUCAGUUUACUGUUAUUUUCUCAUGAUGUGAUCCUGUAAAUCAAAGACUUCACAUAAGAGUUGAAAAUCUUACUUUUUAAGAAAUUACAUACAACACCCAAUGUAUUGCUUGUUUUGUUCUUUAAAAAUGGUUAUCUCAUUAUAUAUUACUGUUUAUAACUCAGUAAUUGUUGUUUAUUCGUUCAGUCGCUUCUGACUCUUCGUAACCUCAUGGAACAGUCCACGCCAGAGCUCCCUGUGGGCCGUGGCUACCCCCAGCUCCUUCAAGGUCAAGCCAGUCACUUCAAGGAUAUCAUCCAUCCAUCUCGCUCUUGGUCGGCCCCUCUUCCUUUUUCUUUCCAUUUUUCCCAGCAUCAUUAUCUUAUCCAAGCUUUCCUGUCUUCUCAUUAUGUGGCCAAAGUACUUCAUCUUUGCCUUUAAUAUCCUUCCCGCCAGUGAGCAGUCGGGCAUUACUUCCUGUAGUAUGGACUGGUUUGAUCUACUUGCAGUCCAAGGAACUCUCAGAAUUUUCCUCCAACACCACCAUUCAAAUGCAUCUAUCUUCCUUUGCUCAGCCUUCCUUAUGGUCCAGCUCUCGCGUCCAUAGGUUACUGUGGGGAAUACUAUUGCUUUAACUAUGUGGACCUUCAGUGCCAGUGUGAUAUCUCUAUUCUUUACUAAUACUUCAGUAAUACUUAAAAAAAAAAGACAAGGAAGAAAAAUGUAAACAUUUUUGUCUCUCCAUAAUGUAAAGUCUAAAAUAGCAAAAUAACACACUGCAUUGGAUUAGUUUUUGGCUUCUUGUCCAUAUCAAUGGGAAGACCUGGAUGUGUUUACUAAUAAUGCCAUACCGGGAAAAGGGAGUAGUAAAUGGUGACACAUUGGAUGGUUGUAGUGAGGCAACCAUUCUAAAUACGUCUGAGGAAUGUUUUCCUGGGGAUCUGAAGGAACAGUCAGUAAACUUGUUAGAUCUUUGUUUGAGUGACAGGAUUUGUGGCUGCUCAAAUACCUCAUCAGCAUGCCUCGCCAAUAAUGUAAUCAAUAUGAUGUAGCCUCGGGUGUCUCUUGUACAUCACUUGUUAGUUAAACAAGCUUUCAGUGAAGAAAAAGCAUUGACAUUUUUGUGCCUAUCAAAAAAUUAGCAAAUGCAAUGGCUGAAUGAUUCAUUACUUUAUCAAAAGCAAUUAAUCAUUAUAUUACUAUUGUUAUUGUUAAUAUCAUUAUUAUUUCUACCCCACUUUAUGUCUCUAAAAAGAGCUCCAGAAUAAAUGCUUGAAUCAAUGAUGUACCCAGAUACUAGUUUGAUGCUUCUGUACUACAAAAGAAAUAAAGGAAACCAAUAGAACAGGCUAAGUGGUUCUUAGUCUUUGAUCCCCCAGGUAUUUGGGACUUUACUCCCAGAAGCCCCAACCAGCUUGGUCAACAAUUCUGGGACCUGAAGGCCAAAACAACUGGAGGACCAAAGACCAGGAAUGACUGCUUUCUGACAUCUAGGGAUUGAACAGAGCUCACUAUCCUUGCAGAUGUGCUACAAAGGGUUGACCAUACUUAUUGACAAAAAGCAUAAUUGUCCCUCUUCAAAAAAUUGCCAUUUUACCAUAUAUUAUUUGCACCUUCCUAUUGUAUAGUGUAAAUUAUUUUCUAGUAUGUAUUAAUUUUGCCAUUCUUGUUAGAAGCAGGUUUUCUGUGAACACAAUGGAGAUCUUUGCUUAACAGAGGACCCAACUGUGUAACAAGAACUAAUAAUCAUUGAAGAUUGUUUUUUUUAAAUCAGUACCUAUCAUGACAAUACACAAUAAAGGAUGACUAAUUAUGCAAAAUCCCUGUUUGCCCUGGGAACUUACUACAAAGGCUUGCAAGGGAUACAAAAACUCAGUAUUGGAAGGCAUGGUUAGGUUGGAUAGGAGUCAUGUGCAGUUUAGUCACCAGGAAGUUGUAUUCAUUAAUUUGUGCAAAAUAGGGGAAAGGAAAUCCAUCUGUUUUGCUUUCUCGCCCAUUCAAAUUUUGACAAUUUUGAUAAAUUCCCAGUUUAAAAAAAGAACUGAAAUGAAACACUUACUCACCUUUAGUGCUGAAUAUGCUAUGUUUGGAAAAUUGGUUAGUGAAUGUAUCAGUCUGCUGCAUGCAUACCAUUUCCCACUUUCUUUGCAUAGAGUCUCCUACAGCAUUACAUAGUUGUUUUGAAACCUAAAUGGGGAACUCUGGUUACCUCACCUCUCGUUAAUGAGAAGAAUCCCAGGCGUGAUGAGGCUCACUAGAAAAAUGCAGUUAAAAGACAGUCGUGGAGAUGAGCUUCACUUAUUUGUCUCAAAGAUUAGCUUCACUUAUUUGCCUAGUGAUCAAUGACUGAAAAAAGUUGUGUAUGAAAAUGACAAAAGUGUUACUGAAAUCCUACAUAUUCUACUUAUUCCAUAUGCAUUCAGCUCUUCUCUUUUAGUCUACUAUAUCAGGAGCCUCCGGUGCCGCAAUGGGUUAAAUCCUUAUGCCGGCAGUUCUUCUGACUGACAGGUCGGCAGUUCGAAUCUGCAGACAGUGGGUGAGCUCCCUCUGUUAACCCCAGCUCCCCAUGCAGGGACAUGAGGGAAGUCUCCCGCAAGGAUAGUAAAACAUCAAAUAUUGAGGCGUCCCCUGGGCAACGUCCUUGCAGACAGCCGAUUCUCUCACACAAGAAGCGACUUGUCAGUUGCUCCUGACACGAAAAAAGAGUCGACUAUAUUAAGAGAUUUUGUCCAUGCACAUAAAUGUAUAAGUCUAUUUAAUAUAUAUUUAACACAUAUGGGUGUAUUUGUGUUCUCAGAUUACCAAUUAAUGAUUUAUAAUUUGUCAAUACCCCAAUGAUGUUGUCUAGGAACCACUUGUUCCAGCCCUAUCGCUCUUAUUUGAUUGAGUCCCUCCUCUCUUCUUCUCCUUCUUGCCUCCAUGUUUCAGACUACAUUGAACAUUCUACCCAUCCCCUCUUUUCUAUGCCCUUCAGAGAGAUUGAAGAUUUCUUGGUUUCAUUUUAACUUUUCCAAGCAUCUGCAUCCAUUUACAGCAGGGUUCUCAAACGUUUUCAACCACAGAGCCUUUUUUGAAGCAGAAGUUUCUCGUGGAGCCCCAAGAAAUGUAUGUGUAUGUGUGUAUAAUAUAAUGUAUAUAUAUCAAGCAUGGACAAACUUU